CUGAGUUCGACUUCCCAUGGGGACGAAUUAAAAAAGCCUGGUUAGAGCACACAAGUAGCAACCAGCCCACACAAGUAGUAACCAGCCCCAAGUUUGACUUCCCAUGGGAACGAAUUAAAUAGGUUUAAAAUAAAUAAAAUUAUAAAAAAAUAGCUAGGGAUUUUCCCUGCUGACUUCGUCAAAAAAGAAAUUACAAACGAAAUGGUCUUUACAGACUUUAUGCUAAUGUAAAAAGAUUACAUUUAUUCUUUUUCUAUGAUGCUCUGACACUUGACACUACCGUAGCACUCCCUCCGUUUCAAAUUAUAGGUCGUUUUGAUUUUUUAGUUUAUAGAUAUUAUUAUGCAUCUAGACAUAUACUAUAUACUAUAAGUGCACAGAAAAAACUACGUAAUUAGAAAAGUCAAAACGAAUAAGUAUUCAUGUACAGUACUGAUAACCAGGUGAAGUCACUUGCGUGCCUGAUUUAGCUUAAAGACGGAUGAUUGUGUGGGAGGGGAAAUUAUGAAACGAUCUAUUGUUAAUUUGUAUCUAAGCUUCGUGCGACCGAGUACUGGCAUGCUUGCAAGACCAGAACCAUGUAUAUAUACACAUGAAAGGGAUUGUUUUUGCUCAUGGAAGAUUGGAGAAUGUUUUCAUGGAAAGAAUUCAGAUACUUUCUCCGUCCCAAAAUACUAUUCAUUUUGAAUUUCUAUAUACAUAAAUUGACAUGUAUUUAGACAUAGUAUAUAUCUAUGUGUAUAUCAAAAGAUACUCCCUCCGUUCCGAAUUAUAGGUCGUUCUGAUUUUUUAGAUUCAUAGACUUUGUUAUGCACUUAGAUAUACCAUAUAUCUAUGCAUCUAGAAAAUUCAAAAUGACCUAUAAUUUACGAUGGAGGAGUAUGCUCUUAAAAAAUAAAAUGAACAAUAAUUUAGGAUGAAGACGGUAAGUAAUGACAAUGGAGAUGCAUGGAGAUGCCCUUGAGGCUGAGGGCAGGCAGGCUUUGGUGGAGUUUUCCCUGCCCCUGUCGUUACAGCCAUGAAAGGGGUCGGCUAGGCCCCAGCUGCUACACAAGUUGCAAGCACAAGAAUUAAGAGGGCAAUAUGUUUAUGUUCCCUAGCUAGAUGUUCUCUAGUUUCUGGGGUCAUUGUUGAUGCUUUGUCUUCUUCACAUGUACCUC
rnacentral:lncRNA from 1 species